rnacentral:tRNA from 1 species
GGGCCCUUAGCUCAGGGGUUAGAGCAGCGGACUCAUAAUCCGUCGGUCGUAGGUUCAAAUCCUACAGGGCCCA